ensembl:lncRNA
AUGACUACAAUGGGAAGCCAGUGGCCAGGAGCUGCAACCAGGUCUUCCACAUCAGUGCAGGGCCCAAGCACUUGGAGCAUCUUCUGCUGCUUUCCCAAGCACAUUAGCAGGGAGCUGAAUCAGAAGUGGAACAUGCGGACUCAAGCUGACACUCACAUGGAACUGGAAGCUUAUCUCACCUUGCCACAAUGUCAUUCCCUAUGGGAAAAUUUUAAUUGCAAUAGAAAAAUUAGUAUGCAAGAUAAAAAUAUAGAUGUCAAAAUGUACUAUAUAAUUUCUAGUAAAAGAAUACCUAGAAUUUCAUUUCUUUUUUAUUUAGUAAAUAUAAAGUUCCAAAGUACAGUUUAUGGAUUACAUUGGCUUCCCCACCCCCAUAAUUUCCCUGCCACUCGCAACCCGCCCAUCUCCUGCUCCCUUUCCCAUUAUUCACAUCAAGAUUUAUUUCAAUUAUCUUUAUAAACAGAAGAUCGAUUCAGUAUAUAUUAAGUAAAGAUUUCAUCAGUUUGCACCCACACAGAAACACAAAGUGUAAAAUUCUGUUUCAGUACUAGUUAUAGCAUUACUUCACAUUGGACAACACAUUAAGCACAGAUCCCACAUGAGAAGUAAGUACACAGUGACUCCUGUUGUUGACUUAACAAUUUGACACUCUUGUUUAUGGCGACAGUAAUCUCCCUAGGCUAUAGUCAUGAGUUGCCAAGGCAAUGGAAGUCUUUUGAGUUCGCCGACUUCAAUCUUAUUCCGACAGGGUCAUAGUCAAAGUGGAAGUUCUCUCCUCCCUUCAGAGAAAGGUACCUCCUUCUUUGAUGGCCCCAUUCUUUCCAGUGGGAUCUCACUCGCAGAGAUCUUUCAUUUAGGUCUUUUUUUUUUUUCCCAGAGUGUCUUGGCUUUCCAUACCUAAAAUACUCUCAUGAGCUCUUAACCCAGAUCCAAAUGCCUUAAGGGCUGAUUCUGAAGCCAGAGUGCUAUUUAGGACAUCUGCCAUUCUAUGAAUCUGCUGUGUAUCACACUUCCCAUGUUGGAUCAUUCUCUCCCUUUUUGAUUCUAUCAGCUAGUAUUUGCAGACACUAGUCUUGUUUGUGUGAUCCCUUUGACUCUUAGACCUAUCACUGUGAUCAAUUGUGAACAGAAAUUGAUCACUUGGACUAGUGAGAUGGCAUUGGUAGAUCCCUCCCUGAUGGGAUUGAAUUGGAAUCCCCUGGAACGUUUCUAACUCCACCAUUUGGGGCAAGUCCGAUUGAGCAUAUCCCAAAUUGUACAUCUCCUCCCUCUCUUAUUCCUACUCUUACAUUUAACAGGGACUACUUUUCAGGUAAAAUUUAAACACCUAAGAAUAAUUCUGUAUUAAUUACAGAGUUCAACCAAUAGUACUAGAACAAAAAAAAAAUACUAAAAUGGAUAAAGUAUUACAUUGUACAUCAACAGUCAGGAUAAGAGCUGAUCAAGUCACUGUUUCUCAUAGUGUCCAUUUCACUUCAACAGGUUUCCCCUUUGGUGCUCAGUUAGUUGUCGCCGAUCAGGGAGAACAUAUAUUUGUCCCUUUGGGACCGGCUUAAUAGAAUUUCAUUUCUGACACAAAUUAAAAGUAUUAUGAAUGGAAUAUGAACAUAGACAAUACCAAAUAUUAACAUGUUUUUGUCUUGGAAUCAUUAAGUUUACAUAUAUAUUACCAAAAAAUUUCUUUUUAAAACUAACAUUGUCUUGAUAACCUCAAGAAAUCGGAAACUCUAAUAUUUCAGAGCUCAAAAUCUUUUACUCUUUAAAUACAAAGAAAUGAGAUCAGGAAUACAAUCUUGUAUCUGUGGCUACCAAGAAAAUUUAUAGUAAAACAAGAACUAAAAGCCAGGUUUCCUGUCCCUUGGUACAACAUUCUCACACAGCACAGCCACUGUCUUUUAAGAAUAUUCCAUAGAAGCACUGUUCCAUGAUGAAGUCAUUUCAUGUGGAAAUGAAAGCAGACAGGGAUUAUCACUACCCAAACAGUGUUGACCUGUUUUGGGGUGUGACAAGUCAUGGAGAAGAUUAUUUCCUUCAGGCAACUGGCACUGAAUUUGGUAUCACACAAAAUCGAGCUGCAGGACAAAUUACAAACCAACACGUAAUAGUGGCAGUGGCCCAGUGUUGCAAAUGUUGCACCUAUUUCUAACUAGUCACUCCUGCCCUCAGGCAGUGUUGCUGUCACACAGUGCUGUCAUGAGAAAGAGUAGCAACUGAGAAAUGUAACAUGGUGAUAUACACCAGGAUCAGGAAGGCCAAUUUUGAGCACAAUCAGAUAAAAUCACCAUUAAUAAAAUGUUCAGAAAGCAUAAAUUUUUACA